CCUANGGGUGGCUGCAGUCGAGAAUCUUCCACAAUGGGCGAAAGCCUGAUGGAGCGACGCCGCGUGCAUGAAGAAGUCCUUCGGGAUGUAAAGUGCUUUUCUAUCCGAGGAAUUUUGACUUUAGGAUAGGAAUAAGGGGCUGCUAAACUCGUGCCAGCAGCAGCGGUAAUACGAGUGCCCCGAGCGUUGUCCGGAAUUACUGGGCGUAAAGAGUCUGUAGGGCGUCUGAUACGUCUUUUGUUAAAUCUUAAUGCUCAACAUUAAGGCCGCAAGGGAAACGGUUAGACUUGAGGAUGUGAGAGGUUGAUGGAACUCAUAGAGUAGGGGUGAAAUCCGUUGAUACUAUGAGGAACACCAAAGGCGAAGGCAUUCAACUGGCGCAUUCCUGACCCUGAGAGACGAAAGCGUGGGGAGCGAACAGGAUUAGAUACCCUGNUANUC
rnacentral:rRNA from 1 species